UAGGGAAUCUUCGNCAAUGGACGGAAGUCUGACCGAGCAACGCCGCGUGAGUGAAGAAGGUUUUCGGAUCGUAAAGCUCUGUUGUAAGAGAAGAACGAGUGUGAGAGUGGAAAGUUCACACUGUGACGGUAUCUUACCAGAAAGGGACGGCUAACUACGUGCCAGCAGCCGCGGCAAUACGUAGGUCCCGAGCGUUGUCCGGAUUUAUUGGGCGUAAAGCGAGCGCAGGCGGUUAGAUAAGUCUGAAGUUAAAGGCUGUGGCUUAACCAUAGUACGCUUUGGAAACUGUUUAACUUGAGUGCAAGAGGGGAGAGUGGAAUUCCAUGUGUAGCGGUGAAAUGCGUAGAUAUAUGGAGGAACACCGGUGGCGAAAGCGGCUCUCUGGCUUGUAACUGACGCUGAGGCUCGAAAGCGUGGGGAGCAAACAGGAUUAGAUACCCUGGUAGUCCACGCCGUAAACGAUGAGUGCUAGGUGUUAGACCCUUUCCGGGGUUUAGUGCCGCAGCUAACGCAUUAAGCACUCCGCCUGGGGAGUACGACCGCAAGGUUG
rnacentral:rRNA from 1 species